CAAAGGGAUUUUUCAGAAAAUAUCACGGCGACAGGCUGCUAUCCUGUGGCGUCCCAGGAACCUCCAGAGGUGCAUCCUGCUCCAGAGGUGGGUGAGAUGCCUCGGUUAAAAACACUGGAUUUGCAUUCUUGUAUUUCACGUUUCUGUCAUGCAUACAGUGUAAAGCACCCUAAGGCCAAGCAUUCUAUACAACACAGCUUUUUGGAGGUUUUGGUACAAAUUUCUGUACAUUGGCCUCACUAUGGAGUAAAUUCAGAGCUCCCUGUCACUGCUGGGGUUCUGUAUAUCAUGCCAGGCCCUCUGAUUUGCUUGA